UACGUAGGGGGCUAGCGUUGUCCGGAAUCAUUGGGCGUAAAGAGCGCGUAGGCGGCCAGAUAAGUCCGGUGUGAAAGUCACAGGCUCAACCUGUGAAUGCCGCUGGAAACUGUCUGGCUAGAGUCCGGGAGGGGCGAGUGGAAUUCCUGGUGUAGCGGUGAAAUGCGCAGAUAUCAGGAAGAACACCCGUGGCUAAGGCGGCUCUCUAGUACGGUACUGACGCUGAGACGCGAAAGCGUGGGGAGCGAACAGG
rnacentral:rRNA from 1 species